GACGAAGGGGGGCUAGCGUUGUUCGGAAUUACUGGGCGUAAAGCGAGUGUAGGUGGUUGUCCAAGUUGGAUGUGAAAGCCUUGAGCUCAACUCAAGAAAUGCAUUCAGGACUGGGCGGCUAGAGGACCGGAGAGGAUAGUGGAAUUCCCAGUGUAGUGGUGAAAUGCGCAGAUAUCAGGAGGAACACCGAUGGCGAAGGCAGGUCUCUGGGCAUUAACUGACGCUGAGGAGCGAAAGCCAGGGAGGCAAACGGG
rnacentral:rRNA from 1 species